rnacentral:rRNA from 1 species
UACAGAGGUCUCAAGCGUUGUUCGGAUUCAUUGGGCGUAAAGGGUGCGUAGGCGGCGCGGUAAGUCGGAUGUGAAAUCUCGGGGCUUAACUCCGAAACUGCAUUCGAUACUGCCGUGCUUGAGGACUGGAGAGGAGACUGGAAUUUACGGUGUAGCGGUGAAAUGCGUAGAUAUCGGGAGGAACACCUGUGGCGAAAGCGGCUCACUGGACCACAACUGACGCUGAGGCGCGAAAGCUAGGGGAGCAAACAGG